UACAGAGGGGGCAAGCGUUGUCCGGACUUACUGGGUGUAAAGCGCAUGCAGGUGGCUGUGCAAGUAUGCUGUGAAAGCCCCGUGCUUAACACGGGGAGGCCAGUAUAGACUGCACGGCUCGAGGACUGCAGAGGGUAGGGGAAUUGCUGGUGUAGUGGUGAAAUGCGCAGAUAUCAGGAAGAACACCCGUGGCGAAGGCGGCUCUCUGGAACGCAACUGACGCUGAGACGCGAAAGCGUGGGGAGCAAACAGG
rnacentral:rRNA from 1 species